GACGAACGCUGGCGGCGUGCUUAACACAUGCAAGUCGAACGGAAAGACCCUGCUUUUGUGGGGUGCUCGAGUGGCGAACGGGUGAGUAACACGUGAGUAACCUGCCCUUGACUUUGGGAUAACUUCAGGAAACUGGGGCUAAUACCGGAUAGGAGCUCCUGCUGCAUGGUGGGGGUUGGAAAGUUUCGGCGGUUGGGGAUGGACUCGCGGCUUAUCAGCUUGUUGGUGGGGUAGUGGCUUACCAAGGCUUUGACGGGUAGCCGGCCUGAGAGGGUGACCGGCAACAUUGGGACUGAGAUAGGGCCCAGCCUCCGAGGGGGGGCAGAGGGGGGGAAUAUUGAACAAGGGGGGGAGGCCUGAGGCAGCAACGCCGGGGGCGGGGGGACGGCUUUGGGGUUGUAAACCGCUUUCGCCGGUGACGAAGGGGGAGUGACGGUAGGGGGAAAAGAAGCCCCGGCUAACUACGUG
rnacentral:rRNA from 1 species